UUUAAAUACCCAGUUAAAGAGUUUGUCGAGAAGUUUAAACCGAAGAAAAACUCCGGUACGAGGCGAAAAUAAGACUUUCUUGAAGUUGAACGGUUACAUUGGGAGAGUUUUUUUUUUCCAUGUGUUCACGCUUAAGUAAACAUGGCACAAAGAAGGAGAAAAAAACCAGAGCAGGAUGCCAAGGAGCAUAUAUUAGCUGGAAAAGACAAACCCUUCAUUGAGAAGAGAUAUAUCAAUGCAUUUAAAGGAAGAGGUGUAUUUGCAAUCGAAAACAUCGAACCAUCCACCUUUGUGGUUGAGUAUUGUGGGAUUCUCUCAGAAAAUAAAGAAGUUGAAG